AGAGCGAACGCUGGCGGCAGGCCUAAUACAUGCAAGUCGAACGCACCUUCGGGUGAGUGGCGGACGGGUGAGUAACACGUGGGAACGUGCCUUUGGUUCGGAAUAAUCCGGGGAAACCUGGCCUAAUACCGGAUGUGCCCUUCGGGGGAAAGAUUUAUCGCCAUUAGAGCGGCCCGCGUCUGAUUAGCUAGUUGGUGAGGUAACGGCCCACCAAGGCUACGAUCAGUAGCUGGUCUGAGAGGAUGAUCAGCCACACUGGGACUGAGACACGGCCCAGACUCCUACGGGAGGCAGCAGUAGGGAAUCUUGCGCAAUGGGGGAAACCCUGACGCAGCCAUGCCGCGUGAAUGAUGAAGGUCUUAGGAUUGUAAAAUUCUUUCAGCGGGGAAGAUAAUGACUGUACCCGCAGAAGAAGCUCCGGCUAACUUCGUGCCAGCAGCCGC
rnacentral:rRNA from 1 species